rnacentral:tRNA from 1 species
GGUUCUAUGGUGUAAUGGUUAGCACUCUGGACUCUGAAUCCAGCGAUCCGAGUCAAGUCUCGGUAGAACCU